rnacentral:lncRNA from 1 species
GAGACCAAAUUUUGUCUCGAGAGAGGGUUCGUCGAGGAAGAAGAUGAAGCCGACAGCUUCAUUUGCUCCGAUCCUACCAGCUCUACCAGCUCCUAGUGGAUUGAUCGGGAUCACUAGUAUAGACCUAGAUGAGAUCAAUGUGCAAGAAGUCAUCAUCGCAUUACCCUGAGGGUAGCUCUCCCUGUCACUUCAGAGCUCAUCCGGGUGGUGACUGCUCCACCCCUUCCUCGAGCCUCAUCUCUGGCC